UGCAGCCGAGUCAAAUUCAUUGCUGUCCUACCAUGGCAAGCACUGGCUCAGAGGCUGCCGUACAGACUAUCGUUCUUGGACCCCGUUCCCCGAGUUUGGGGUCAGGGAUGAAUUUGGUCACAGACAGUA